ACUUCUGCUCCUCUGACAGAGGAUGCAGCUUUAAAAUAGAUAGACAUUUAUUGAUCCUUUCGGAAAUUCAUCUUGCACCAUACAGCUCAUCAAAUAGACAGACAACAGACCAUAAACAACAGACAACAACAAGACCACUAAACCCUCCCUCCCCCCCGCACAACAACAAUACAC